GUGACUCCUUAAGACUUCCAAAACUGGUACAUAAAGAUUAUACAACUUCUUUCUGGUCCUCUUGGAACACUGGCUCCUGGAACGUAGUCCCUAUGCCAUAAGGAAGCUGAAGGAGGCCAUGGAAAGGCCCAUGUGGAAGGAAAGAGAGCCCCCUCCAAUCUGCAACCCUCGGCCCCAGCUGAGCUUUCAGGAAACAAUAGCAUUAGCUUUCAAUCAUGUGAGAGAACUGUCUUCAAAGUAAAUCUUUCAGGCCUAAGUGGAGCUGCCCCAGCCAAUGAGAUGAGCCUUGUCUUGUGAAUCCUGCCCAAACUGUAGAUUUGUUGGGUUUUCAAGAUGAUCAUCAUUAAUAGCCUUAGAGAUAUUGGUGGUUUGCAGCAGUUAGAGAAGCCUCCCCCAAAAUAUUGCACCCAUUUCUAAGUUCAAGGAAGCAACUUUAAAAGAGUUAUAGUGGCUUCUGAAGAUGACUUCAGAGAGCGUUAGUCACCCCAAGAUCUGUGGCUGAGAAUGAGAGUGCAGCGAAGUGUCCUGAUUAAAAAUCACAUCUCCCAGUCUUCCUUGAAGCUAAACAUGAACAUUUGAUACCAUUUUGAACAACGAGAUCUGAAAUGCUAAAGAUAAAGCAGCCAUCUGCUGGCCAUGAGAAGAGAGGCAAUAGGAAAAAAAAAAACUACAUUCUAAAGAUGAGUCUUUCCAUGCUGUUGCAGAAGCUGUGUUACCUGUAAUCUCUAGUACUGCUCUGCCCCCUUGUGCUGCUGCAGUGAACUCGACAGAGGAACAGUGUGCCUUCGUCUUUGUACAUGAACUACAGAAAAACCCCACUGUCACUUCUCACUUUUCUGAGUGAAAGAAACCGAAAAAAAAGAAGAGGAAGAGGAGGAGGAGGAGGAAGAGGAGG